CUGACACGACUCUAUUUAUAGACUAGACUCGGAGCUGUCGCCAGAAAAAGGUGGAGGACCCUCUGGCAACAAAAUAAUUUCGAUCACCUCCAGGUGCACACUGAAGGCAUUUCGAGGACGAAGUACCCUGGAGCAAAGGUUUCGACAAGAAAAAUGGAAGAAAAUACAAUUUCUUCCUGGAGAACUUGUACUUCAGUAGCCUUCCUUUGGCUGUCGGUAGUCAUGACUGAAUAUUGUGUUCAUGGCGCGCCAAGAUGUCCCCAAGGACAGACGUUUUUUGACGAACUCACAAACCGACGAGAAUGCUGUUUUGAUAUUUGCCAAGGCAACUUUGAACCAGCGGACAUGUGCCAGCUCAAAUGUCCAGGGUUCCACUUAACCACAUCGCCCACCCCUCCCACGGACUGUCCGCCAGGCGGGUCGUAUCUCAAUGUGUCCACUAAUCAGGAGGUUUGCUGCGCCGACCUUUGCAACAACAGGGACAUCGCAGAAAUAAAGAUUUUGUGUCCAGAAUGCCCACCUUAUGGCGCACGGAUUGGAGAGGAACAGCCUGUUGACAUCGACCACCAGUCGGGUGGCUUAAUCACGCCUAUUGUGGUUGCUUGUGUGGCUGCCUGUGUCAUGAUAACUAUUCUGGUCGCCAUAGUUUACCUGUACAGGAAGAAGAUAUGCCAACAUCUUUACAAGAAUAAUUUCAGGAUUCAGACAGUAACAUGAGUGAUACACAGGUAUGCUGUUGAUAGUUACAAAUGAAAUCAUGUGUUGUGUUUGACAGUCUGUGCUGCCACUUGAUGUUUGUCGCAUUGAAGAAGUAGAAUCCUCAAUCAAUUGUAAUCCGAAAUUGUAUUUAUUUUCUGACAACUAGAUAUUUUUGAUAACUUAUAAUAAUGAUUAUGGUGAUGAGAAAGUAUUAGCAGUCGAGAGAACUCAUUCAAUACAGGUAGAUCCAUGGUCGAGACAAAAAGCCUAUUGUCGGGGUUCAUAUUAAAAAAUAGGAUGAAGCAUUUGAUUCUUUUAUAAGACAUGGGUUUCAGUAACUUUUUAUUUGCCAUAUUUUCACAAUCAGAACUUUUUCUGAUGAUAGACCACAUUUUGGGUCUUGGAUGAAAUAUUUGCAUUUGUUCAUUUAAAAAAGAAGAAGAAAUCUGUUCUGGUAAAUCUUUGUUUACAGGAAAGGGAGACCCUCAGUGAGAAAACAGAAAAACAAGAUGUUGAAAAACAAAUGGUGACAGAGGUGUCUAAGCUGAAUGAGACAUCUUCAGAUGUUGUCUGACUUUUCUUUAAACUUUACCAAACGAUAAUUUUGGUCUUCUUAUGACUGUAACCUGCUCUGUAUGUUGGUUUUUAUUUAUCUUCCUACUAAGAGCAACGGUCGUUUCCAGAAAUGGAUAAUGACCACAAUAUUACAUCUUUAAAUCUUGUCCUUUGCUUACUUCAUGAUUUUACUUUCGGUUUUUAUAUUUUCACAUCUUUCCCAGCUGCCUUCUUCUCGUCGCUAACCUUUUGCUAUGGGACAUCUGAUAGUCAACGUUAGCAAUGAAUUGUCUGAACAUUUUGUUUCUGAUUUUUGCAUUAGCUUUUUUUUUUUUUUUUUUUUGCAUAGCUCUUCUUAAAUGCUUCUAUGUAGCUAUCUUUUGUGAAAAUCAAAAUCACCUAGAUAUUGUUUAUGCACACUUUUUGAAAAAUCGCUUCGCUUCUUUCUCCCCUCUUGUUUGUUUGUGUUCAAAAUGAGCCACGGUUGUUUCCAGAAAUGGACAAUGACCAAUUCUUGCGCAGCCUUAUCACAAUGAUUGACUUGAUUAGCCAACUUCUCUAUGGAACUUAAUCCUAACGAUCAGCUUGAUAAAGAAGCCAAAAUAAUAAUAAAAAGUAUGUAGCCAGUAGUGCAACUUUAUUUUUAUCUCGAAUUUACUCGCGGAGAUGUCUAUGCGAGGUGGGGAACUCAAAGUCGUCGUUAAUAAUAAACGAACAAAACCGACUAGACAUGUGGCGGCUGCAGAAGCAUGUGGCGAUGUUCUCAAAUACACCUCGCGCUUGGUCUCCUGCUUUGCUUAUUAUUUAUUUGUUUGUCGUACGUCCCUUUCUCUCGAACAACUUUCGUUCCACAUCUUUCGUCGAGGGUACAAGAGUCGCUUUCUAUUCUCUCCACCCGUUCCUGCUGCAUUGAGAGCACACCCGCAGAUCAAAGGUGAAUUCCCUUCGCUAAACGCUUGUUUGUACUGCUAGCUAUUUGCACAGUAUAAUUUUCUUUCUUUUAGUAGUUAUAGUGCUCUAUCUAUAUCAUUAUUCUUUUACUUUCUUUAUUUUUUUUUUACGUUUGGUCAGCUUUGGGGCGGUUGGUGGCGCAGUGGCUAAAAUGCUGGCUACUACGACAGUGUCAAUCGGGUACUGUAGGUUGUGAUUUGUUCUGAGGUACCUGUCUCUGUGAGUGACACCUGUUCACACCUGCUCACUGGUUGUCAUGGGAUAUUUCAGCUUUAUCGUGCCUGUGUGUGUACGAAUUUGAUACCUACCCUCAAAAAUGUAUGCUGGUGCCCAUUCGUAUGUGCAUGUAUUCGGUGGUGGAAAAGUAUGACAUACCUAUUUAAUCAUUAUUUACUUAAAGUGUCUGUCUUCCCUGCUUUCGCAAUGCCAGUAUCAUAUCCUCGUUAAAUGUAAGUUUAUUUUAAUGUGCAUUCAUCCCAAAACCUAUUAAACUCAAUUUCUAACGUUUCUCAUCUCGUCACCUCUCGCCUCCCCACUUUCCCCUCCAAUAUAUAGCUCUUUGCGGUUUUCCUUCGCCGUUUGAUACCCUGCUUGCUAAGGACUGUUGUCAAGAAAUAUCAUUCUGUAACUUUUUGGUUUAAUGAAGUGCUUCAGCCUCAAAUUAUCCUUUCCCUUUAAACUGCUACUUUGAAUAAAUUCAGGUCUGACUCGCUUGUUAUUAUUGGCAUACUAUAAAUAUAUAUAUAUUUAUAUAACCACUACAGUCUUUUUGUGAAACUCAUCAAUGGUCGUUUCCAGAAAUGGAGGAUGACCAAGCUUUAUAGUCAGUAGGAAUGUUGUUGAAGUAAAUAAAACAGUUGUGAUUUUGUA
rnacentral:lncRNA from 1 species